rnacentral:rRNA from 1 species
CAGCAGCCGCGGUAAUACGUAGGGUGCGAGCGUCAAUCGGAAUUACUGGGCGUAAAGCGUGCGCAGGCGGUUUUGUAAGACAGGCGUGAAAUCCCCGGGCUCAACCUGGGAAUGGCGCUUGUGACUGCAAAGCUAGAGUGCGGCAGAGGGGGAUGGAAUCCCGCGUGUAGCAGUGAAAUGCGUAGAGAUGUGGAGGAACACCGAUGGCGAAGGCAGCCCCCUGGGCCAAUACUGACGCUCAUGCACGAAAGCGUGGGGAGCAAACAGGAUUAGAGACCCCUGUAGUCCCUGUCUCUUAUAA